GGAUGUGUCGGUUUCAUCAUGACGGUCAAGCUGAAAGCAUAAAAGUUAGCCAUUAACGUGCUCAACCGAUUUUCUGAAGAAGGUACAUUCACAAUUAUACUAGCAAGUACUAGUUUAAUUAAAUGCUUUUCUCUAAAUUUUUGUUCGUCCAGAAUGGGUAUAAAAUUUCGUAGGAAAUUAAGACAAGCAAAGCGUGCUUCUUCUUUAAAAAGAGAAAGCCCCAUUACUAUCAUACCGAGGAAGUUUUGUUGUACAAUAACUUGAAUGUUAGAAACCUGCUGAUUCGAAUGAAGAAGGGAUGCCGUUAUACCAAGAGCAUAUAGUGGAUGAUAGACUUCUCUAUUCCAUUCAUUACUACAGUAACUAGAAAGGAGCCCUUCGGUAGUUUCCAAAUCGUCAAACACCUUCAAAUCAAUCUUCUCCCACUCUGAUGGAUAUUGAUUGACAGUAUUAGCAGCAAUCUUAGGUUCCAGUACCCCUGAACCGUCCUUACGAGCAAGAAGCAUCAUAUCGUAUUCGUCAGUUAUUACCCAACCUUUAUAUCGACUUGCGACGCUAA